rnacentral:rRNA from 1 species
CCUACGGGGGGCAGCAGUAGGGAAUUUUCGUCAAUGGGCGCAAGCCUGAACGAGCAAUGCCGCGUGAACGAGGAAGGUCCUCGGAUCGUAAAGUUCUGUUGAAGGGGAAAAAGAGCGGAGAGAGGAAAUGAACUCCGAUUGAUAUUACCCUUCGAGGAAGUCACGGCUAACUACGUGCCAGCAGCCGCGGUAAUACGUAGGUGGCGAGCGUUAGCCGGAUUGAUUGGGCGUAAAGGGUGCGUAGGCGGCCUGCUAAGUCUGGAGUGAAAGGUACCGGCUCAACCGGGACAGGCUCUGGAAACUGGCGGGCUAGAGAGCAGGAGAGGGCGGUGGAACUCCAUGUGUAGCGGUAAAAUGCGUAGAUAUAUGGAAGAACACCAGUGGCGAAGGCGGCCGCCUGGCCUGUUACUGACGCUGAGGCACGAAAGCGUGGGGAGCAAAUAGGAUUAGAUACCCCAGUAGUC